GUUCUUGCUUCGGCGGCACAUAUACUCAAAUUGGAAUGAUACAGAGAAGAUUAGCAUGGCCCCUAUGCAAGUAAGACACACAAAAAUUGUGAAGCGUUCCAUAAUUUU
ensembl:snRNA U6 U6 spliceosomal RNA